rnacentral:lncRNA from 1 species
AAUGUUAAACUGAUAGACAUAUUGCAUAUUUCUCAAUCAAACUCGUAUAUCCAAAUGGUUGGUGUGCUAUUAUGUAUCAUGCGGAACUGGAUCUUAAAAAGAACUAUAAAUUGUUUGCAGAGCCCACCUUCAAGCUAUGAUAAAAUAAAAUCACAAAAUACAAAUCAGACUGAUACAAAAUUAGGAUAGGUACUUCCCAAGUCAUAGCACUAAACUUUAAGAAGCAAUGUGUCAUCCUCAGUCGGCUACAUAGACAACUACAUGCACCAUGAUCAUCCCAACCAUGCAUUAGAACCAAUUUGGUUAGAAACAAGAGAAUAAUAGCUGGAUCUCCGUUCUAUGCUCAAUUGGUAGCUUGCAGACAAGUGAAAACCUACAAAUUAUAAAAUGACAACUUUUGUUUCUUUGAUACUCACAAGCAUACAAACUAGAAGUCUGCAGAUGUGAAGUUUUAGAUGGUAACACUAUUUCGUUUGAAAUUAGGAAAUAUGACAUAUGUAGUAGUAGACCAAAAUACAUGAACAUAAAAUAUCCCAGGUCAUGCUAAACAAAGCAUCAACACUGGUAAUAAACGUGAAAUCCUCUAUGAAAAUGUAAACUAUAAUGCAUGAAGUAAGGCAAAUUUUCAACUUUAUCAAUCCAGAUAGUGAAGUUUAUUUUAAUGACCUCAACAGUCAACACCCUCUCUUCCAGUAUCCCUAAAACAACAACCACAUAAAAUUAUUUUUACAUGGAAAAUACAUGAAAAGUGGAUCACAAAGGCAGAUGAGGAACCAAUACAAGACUCGGUAACUCACUUAACCAAGAAUAUUUUCUAGGAAGGACUUCAUCAUACCACGUAGGACACUGUCUAUUGCUGCCAUCAAGUAAUGCCUACAUAGUAUAUUUUAUUCGCAUCAGCACCAGCCUGUAUAAAUAAAUUAUAAUUUAUUUGAGAAGUGCGUGAGAUGCCGUUUGCAGAAAAUGUAUGCACCAAGAAAUGAAGUUGUGUCUACACUACAUACUGAAGGAAGCUCCAUAAAUGAACAAAGAUUAAGAAGUGAUGCUUCAUAAAAAUAGCAAGAACUACUCAAACAGUAUACACACAUAUUAAACAAAAACCAUGUUUUUUAGCUAUUUCUUCAAACUACGGAAAUAAAAUUGCUAGGUGUAGAUCCUCCUUUAUGAUGAGCUUAUUUCUAAUUACAAUUUAUUUAAUUCAAGGAAGUUCUCUAUGUAAAGCUUAGAAUGAACAUCCACAUUUGCGAAUUGCCAGAAUGAACGUUCUCUGAUGUCUGAUUCUAAGAGGCGAACAAGUUGUCUGGUGUGUCCCAGGUUAGUGGAUAACCUCAAACAAAUUGACCUAGCAUCCAUACACACAUCCGGUGGAGACCCAUUCUUAAUAUUUGUCAUGUUCACUGGGCGGAGACUCUGCUACAUGAGAACGAUAGCGUGUUUUUCGUCAGCUAAAAAAUUCCCUAAACCAAUAUACAAGAAUAUAAAGUGCAAGAUAACUUUCAAGCAAUCAAACUGAGUCGCACCAUGGCUGGAGAAGUAAAAACCUGCAUCGAGGCUGAAGAUGCUCCUCUCGUCGAGGUCAAGAACGAGAUCCGCGAGGAGGAGGACUCAGGCUUCCUCCGCUUCCCGUGGGCUGCUUCAUCCCCGCGGUGCAGGAAGAUAUGUGAUGAACUGCCG